GAGACACUCUUCUGGGGCAAGACUUGCUUCAGUGGGGCUUUGGUGCUCACUGAAUCUGCCCCCUGCGUGUGUCCCU
rnacentral:pre_miRNA from 1 species